UCUUGUCAAUUUGUGUUAAAG
ensembl:piRNA 21ur-271 ncRNA